rnacentral:rRNA from 1 species
AGCGGCGGAUGGGUGAGUAACACGUGGGGAACCUGCCCCUAAGUCUGGGAUACCAUUUGGAAACAGGUGCUAAUACCGGAUAAUAAAGCAGAUCGCAUGAUCAGCUUUUGAAAGGCGGCGUAAGCUGUCGCUAAGGGAUGGCCCCGCGGUGCAUUAGCUAGUUGGUAAGGUAACGGCUUACCAAGGCGACGAUGCAUAGCCGAGUUGAGAGACUGAUCGGCCACAUUGGGACUGAGACACGGCCCAAACUCCUACGGGAGGCAGCAGUAGGGAAUCUUCCACAAUGGACGCAAGUCUGAUGGAGCAACGCCGCGUGAGUGAAGAAGGUUUUCGGAUCGUAAAGCUCUGUUGUUGGUGAAGAAGGAUAGAGGUAGUAACUGGCCUUUAUUUGACGGUAAUCAACCAGAAAGUCACGGCUAACUACGUGCCAGCAGCCGCGGUAAUACGUAGGUGGCAAGCGUUGUCCGGAUUUAUUGGGCGUAAAGCGAGCGCAGGCGGAAAAAUAAGUCUAAUGUGAAAGCCCUCGGCUUAACCGAGGAACUGCAUCGGAAACUGUUUUUCUUGAGUGCAGAAGAGGAGAGUGGAACUCCAUGUGUAGCGGUGGAAUGCGUAGAUAUAUGGAAGAACACCAGUGGCGAAGGCGGCUCUCUGGUCUGCAACUGACGCUGAGGCUCGAAAGCAUGGGUAGCGAACAGGAUUAGAUACCCUGGUAGUCCAUGCCGUAAACGAAGAGUGCUAAGUGU